rnacentral:rRNA from 1 species
CCUACGGGUGGCAGCAGUGAGGAAUAUUGGUCAAUGGACGAGAGUCUGAACCAGCCAAGUAGCGUGAAGGAUGACUGCCCUAUGGGUUGUAAACUUCUUUUAUAUGGGAAUAAAAUGUUCCACGUGUGGGAUUUUGUAUGUACCAUAUGAAUAAGCAUCGGCUAACUCCGUGCCAGCAGCCGCGGUAAUACGGGGGAUGCGAGCGUUAUCCGGAUUUAUUGGGUUUAAAGGGUGCGUAGGCGGCGCUUCAGGUCAGCGGUGAAAUACCGGGGCUCAACCCCGGGGCUGCCGUUGAAACCGGAGCGCUAGAAUUCCGAUGCCGUCGGAGGAAUGUGUGGUGUAGCGGUGAAAUGCAUAGAUAUCACACAGAACACCGAUUGCGAAGGCAUCUGACGAAUCGGAGAUUGACGCUGAUGCACGAAAGCGUGGGUAUCGAACAGGAUUAGAUACCCUUGUAGUC